rnacentral:rRNA from 1 species
AACGAACGCUGGCGGCAGGCCUAACACAUGCAAGUCGAGCGGACAUCUUCGGAUGUUAGCGGCGGACGGGUGAGUAACGCGUGGGAACGUACCUUUUGCUUCGGAAUAGCCUCGGGAAACUGGGAGUAAUACCGGAUGUGCUCUUCGGAGGAAAGAUUUAUCGGCAAAAGAUCGGCCCGCGUUGGAUUAGGUAGUUGGUGGGGUAAUGGCCUACCAAGCCGACGAUCCAUAGCUGGUUUGAGAGGAUGAUCAGCCACACUGGGACUGAGACACGGCCCAGACUCCUACGGGAGGCAGCAGUGGGGAAUCUUAGACAAUGGGCGCAAGCCUGAUCUAGCCAUGCCGCGUGAGCGAUGAAGGCCUUAGGGUUGUAAAGCUCUUUCGU